rnacentral:rRNA from 1 species
GACGAACGCUGGCGGCGUGCUUAACACAUGCAAGUCGAACGGAAAGGCCCUGCUUUUGUGGGGUGCUCGAGUGGCGAACGGGUGAGUAACACGUGAGUAACCUGCCCUUGACUUUGGGAUAACUUCAGGAAACUGGGGCUAAUACCGGAUAGGAGCUCCUGCUGCAUGGUGGGCGUUGGAAAGUUUCGGCGGUUGGGGAUGGACUCGCGGCUUAUCCGCUUGUUGGUGGGGUAGUGGCUUACCAAGGCUUUGACGGGUAGCCGGCCUGAGAGGGUGACCGGCCACAUUGGGACUGAGAUACGGCCCAGACUCCUACGGGAGGCAGCAGUGGGGAAUAUUGCACAAUGGGCGGAAGCCUGAUGCAGCAACGCCGCGUGCGGGAUGACGGCCUUCGGGUUGUAAACCGCUUUCGCCUGUGACGAAGCGUGAGUGACGGUAAUGGGUAAAGAAGCACCGGCUAACUACGUG